rnacentral:rRNA from 1 species
CACGUAGGCACCAAGCGUUGUCCGGAUUUAUUGGGCGUAAAGAGCUCGUAGGCGGUUCAGUAAGUCGGGUGUGAAAACUCUGGGCUUAACCCAGAGACGCCACCCGAUACUGCUGUGACUUGAGUACGGUAGGGGAGCAGGGAAUUCCUGGUGUAGCGGUGAAAUGCGCAGAUAUCAGGAGGAGCACCGGUGGCGAAGGCGCUGCUCUGGGCCGAAACUGACGCUGAGGAGCGAAAGCGUGGGGAGCGAACAGG